CAACCUGAGGCCCAGAGAGACAGAGCAACUUGGCCAAGAUCACACAGCCUUUAAGAGGCAGAGCUGAGAUUUGAACUGAGGUCUGUGUAUUUGCAAAGUCUAUGCCUGGGCAAAAAUCUCAGGAGAGAUGGAGUGAGUUGACUCAAACCACCGCGUACUGGUCCCAGACCAAAUGGGGGACAGGCCUCCUGCACAGCCAGGAGCACCCACCCAAGGACCAAGAUCUCAUCUGAGAGUUCUGUGUCUCACCUACCACCUGGGGUGUGGAGUGGGGAAGAACCCAGCCUGGCCUUGGGCUGGGCCACCACCCUGUCUUCCCACACCUGGUCAGCCUGCUCCUUCCCAAAUCAAGCAUGCAGUGUCGCCCAGGCCACGAAGGGAGAAGCAUCAGGGACGGAUGAAGCAAGCCACUUCCAGAGCCAGACUGCCUUAUCUGGUGAUCACUGAUCAGCAGUGUGAUCUCGAGCAAGUUACUCACCUUCUCUGAGCCUCAGUUUCCCCCGGGCACAGGCAGAAUAACAGCAUGUGUUAAUUCUGAUUGGUGGCUGGGACAUAUGCUUAUUACACUAAAAAAUAUAUAUAUAAUAUAUAUAAUUGAAAAUUAAAAAUAUAAAAUUAAAAAUUUAUAUAAAAUUAAAAAUUUCAGGCCCUGUGCAGUGGCUCAUGCCUGUAAUCCUAGCACUUUGGGAGGCUGAGGCCAGAGGCUUGCUUGAGGACAGGAGGUGGAGAGCAGCCUGGGCAACACAGCAAAACCCAAGACGUAAUCUCUAAAAAAAAAUUUUAAGCCGGGCACGGUGGCUCAUGCCUGUAAUUUCAGAACUUUGGGAGGCCGAGGCGGGCAGAUCAUGAGGUCAGGAGUUCAAGACCAGCCUGACCAACAUGGUAAAACCCCAUCUCUACUAAAAAUACAAAAAUUAGCCGGGCGUAGUGGUGCGUGCCUGUAAUCCCAGCUACUCAGGAGGCUGAGGCAAGAGAAUCACUUGAACCCGGGAGGCAGAGGUUGCAGUGAGCUGAAAUCGUGCCACUGAACUCCAGCCUGGCAACAGAGUGAGACUCCAUCUCGAAACAAACAAACAAACAAAAAGAAAUAAAAGAAAAAAAGAGAAAGAAAAAGAGCAUCCGGGCACAGUGGCUCACGCCUGUAAUUCCAGCACUUUGGAAGACGGAGACAGGAGGAUCACCUGAGGUCAGGGGUUCGAAACCAGCCUGACCAACAUCUCUACUAAAAAUAUAAAAUUAGCCAGGUAUGGUGGUGCAUGCCUGUAAUCCAGCUACUUGGAAGGGUGAGGCAGAGGAAUUGCUUGAACCUGGGAGGCAGAGGUUGCAGUGAGCCGAGAUCCCGCCACUGCACUCCAGCCUGGGCGACAGAGCAAGACUCCGUCUCAAAAAAAAAAAAAAAAAAAAAAAAAAAAAAAAAAAGAAAUUUACAAACCCUCCAGCUUUUUAAGGGUUUCAUUUUAUUAAUUAAAAACAAGAUCAGACACAUCUGCAGUCUGGAUUCAACCAGCAGGCUGCCAAUCUGUCACCACUGGCAUAACUGACCAAGUGACAGUAGCAAUGCCGGGCGUGGUGGCACAUGCCUGCGGUCCCAGCUACUCAGGAGGCUGAGGAGGGAGGAUCGCUUGAGCCCAGGAGUUCGAGAGUUUGAGGCCAACCUGGGCAACAUAGUGCAACCCUAUCUCAAGAAAAAAAAGCAAGGUGCUAGGCCAGGUACGGUGGCUAACACCUGUAAUCCCAGCACUUCGGGAGGCUGAGGCGGGUAGAUCAUGAGGUCAGGAGAUCGAGACCAUCCUGGCUAACACAGUGAAACCCCAUCUCUACUAAAAAUACACAAAAUUAGCUGGGUGUCGUGGCGGGAGCUUGUAGUCCCAGCUACUUGGAAGGCUGAGGCAGGAGAAUGGCAUGAACCCGGA
rnacentral:lncRNA from 1 species